UACGUAGGGUGCGAGCGUUAAUCGGAAUUACUGGGCGUAAAGCGUGCGCAGGCGGUUCGCUAAGACCGAUGUGAAAUCCCCGGGCUUAACCUGGGAACUGCAUUGGUGACUGGCGGGCUAGAGUAUGGCAGAGGGGGGUAGAAUUCCGCGUGUAGCAGUGAAAUGCGUAGAGAUGUGGAGGAAUACCGAUGGCGAAGGCAGCCCCCUGGGCCAAUACUGACGCUGAGAAGCGAAAGCGUGGGGAGCGAACAGG
rnacentral:rRNA from 1 species